rnacentral:rRNA from 1 species
GGUUAAGCGACUAAGCGUACACGGUGGAUGCCCUGGCAGUCAGAGGCGAUGAAGGACGUGCUAAUCUGCGAUAAGCGUCGGUAAGGUGAUAUGAACCGUUAUAACCGGCGAUUUCCGAAUGGGGAAACCCAGUGUGUUUCGACACACUAUCAUUAACUGAAUCCAUAGGUUAAUGAGGCGAACCGGGGGAACUGAAACAUCUAAGUACCCCGAGGAAAAGAAAUCAACCGAGAUUCCCCCAGUAGCGGCGAGCGAACGGGGAGCAGCCCAGAGCCUGAAUCAGUGUGUGUGUUAGUGGAAGCGUCUGGAAAGGCGCGCGAUACAGGGUGACAGCCCCGUACACAAAAAUGCACAUGCUGUGAGCUCGAUGAGUAGGGCGGGACACGUGGUAUCCUGUCUGAAUAUGGGGGGACCAUCCUCCAAGGCUAAAUACUCCUGACUGACCGAUAGUGAACCAGUACCGUGAGGGAAAGGCGAAAAGAACCCCGGCGAGGGGAGUGAAAAAGAACCUGAAACCGUGUACGUACAAGCAGUGGGAGCACGCUUAGGCGUGUGACUGCGUACCUUUUGUAUAAUGGGUCAGCGACUUAUAUUCUGUAGCAAGGUUAACCGAAUAGGGGAGCCGAAGGGAAACCGAGUCUUAACUGGGCGUUAAGUUGCAGGGUAUAGACCCGAAACCCGGUGAUCUAGCCAUGGGCAGGUUGAAGGUUGGGUAACACUAACUGGAGGACCGAACCGACUAAUGUUGAAAAAUUAGCGGAUGACUUGUGGCUGGGGGUGAAAGGCCAAUCAAACCGGGAGAUAGCUGGUUCUCCCCGAAAGCUAUUUAGGUAGCGCCUCGUGAAUUCAUCUCCGGGGGUAGAGCACUGUUUCGGCAAGGGGGUCAUCCCGACUUACCAACCCGAUGCAAACUGCGAAUACCGGAGAAUGUUAUCACGGGAGACACACGGCGGGUGCUAACGUCCGUCGUGAAGAGGGAAACAACCCAGACCGCCAGCUAAGGUCCCAAAGUCAUGGUUAAGUGGGAAACGAUGUGGGAAGGCCCAGACAGCCAGGAUGUUGGCUUAGAAGCAGCCAUCAUUUAAAGAAAGCGUAAUAGCUCACUGGUCGAGUCGGCCUGCGCGGAAGAUGUAACGGGGCUAAACCAUGCACCGAAGCUGCGGCAGCGACGCUUAUGCGUUGUUGGGUAGGGGAGCGUUCUGUAAGCCUGUGAAGGUGUGCUGUGAGGCAUGCUGGAGGUAUCAGAAGUGCGAAUGCUGACAUAAGUAACGAUAAAGCGGGUGAAAAGCCCGCUCGCCGGAAGACCAAGGGUUCCUGUCCAACGUUAAUCGGGGCAGGGUGAGUCGACCCCUAAGGCGAGGCCGAAAGGCGUAGUCGAUGGGAAACAGGUUAAUAUUCCUGUACUUGGUGUUACUGCGAAGGGGGGACGGAGAAGGCUAUGUUGGCCGGGCGACGGUUGUCCCGGUUUAAGCGUGUAGGCUGGUUUUCCAGGCAAAUCCGGAAAAUCAAGGCUGAGGCGUGAUGACGAGGCACUACGGUGCUGAAGCAACAAAUGCCCUGCUUCCAGGAAAAGCCUCUAAGCAUCAGGUAACAUCAAAUCGUACCCCAAACCGACACAGGUGGUCAGGUAGAGAAUACCAAGGCGCUUGAGAGAACUCGGGUGAAGGAACUAGGCAAAAUGGUGCCGUAACUUCGGGAGAAGGCACGCUGAUAUGUAGGUGAAGUCCCUUGCGGAUGGAGCUGAAAUCAGUCGAAGAUACCAGCUGGCUGCAACUGUUUAUUAAAAACACAGCACUGUGCAAACACGAAAGUGGACGUAUACGGUGUGACGCCUGCCCGGUGCCGGAAGGUUAAUUGAUGGGGUUAGCGGUAACGCGAAGCUCUUGAUCGAAGCCCCGGUAAACGGCGGCCGUAACUAUAACGGUCCUAAGGUAGCGAAAUUCCUUGUCGGGUAAGUUCCGACCUGCACGAAUGGCGUAAUGAUGGCCAGGCUGUCUCCACCCGAGACUCAGUGAAAUUGAACUCGCUGUGAAGAUGCAGUGUACCCGCGGCAAGACGGAAAGACCCCGUGAACCUUUACUAUAGCUUGACACUGAACAUUGAGCCUUGAUGUGUAGGAUAGGUGGGAGGCUUUGAAGUGUGGACGCCAGUCUGCAUGGAGCCGACCUUGAAAUACCACCCUUUAAUGUUUGAUGUUCUAACGUUGACCCGUAAUCCGGGUUGCGGACAGUGUCUGGUGGGUAGUUUGACUGGGGCGGUCUCCUCCUAAAGAGUAACGGAGGAGCACGAAGGUUGGCUAAUCCUGGUCGGACAUCAGGAGGUUAGUGCAAUGGCAUAAGCCAGCUUGACUGCGAGCGUGACGGCGCGAGCAGGUGCGAAAGCAGGUCAUAGUGAUCCGGUGGUUCUGAAUGGAAGGGCCAUCGCUCAACGGAUAAAAGGUACUCCGGGGAUAACAGGCUGAUACCGCCCAAGAGUUCAUAUCGACGGCGGUGUUUGGCACCUCGAUGUCGGCUCAUCACAUCCUGGGGCUGAAGUAGGUCCCAAGGGUAUGGCUGUUCGCCAUUUAAAGUGGUACGCGAGCUGGGUUUAGAACGUCGUGAGACAGUUCGGUCCCUAUCUGCCGUGGGCGCUGGAGAACUGAGGGGGGCUGCUCCUAGUACGAGAGGACCGGAGUGGACGCAUCACUGGUGUUCGGGUUGUCAUGCCAAUGGCACUGCCCGGUAGCUAAAUGCGGAAGAGAUAAGUGCUGAAAGCAUCUAAGCACGAAACUUGCCCCGAGAUGAGUUCUCCCUGACCCUUUAAGGGUCCUGAAGGAACGUUGAAGACGACGACGUUGAUAGGCCGGGUGUGUAAGCGCAGCGAUGCGUUGAGCUAACCGGUACUAAUGAACCGUGAGGCUUAACCUU